rnacentral:lncRNA from 1 species
AGCUGGGCAGUGUGGGCAGAGGGCUCUGGGUCCAUCCAGGCCCCGGGUAGAGUGGAGGCCAGGGCUGGUCUGCAGCGCUGGCUGAGGAGGAACCCCUCCCCUAGGGCCAUCAGGUAGGGUGUGGGUGAGGGAAGGAGAGAGCCCUGGCAGGAAGCCGGUGGAGACCAGGCUGGGAAGCACUAGUUUCCUCUUGGCUGGACUGCAGGAAACCCAGCCCUGCUUCCCAAGCUGCUUCCUGAAGAUAAGGUGGCCUUGAUGGUCUCUUCCUGUUCCCGACUCCCUCCACCCUGCCCUAGCCCCCAGGGGACCCUCAGCUGCACCUCUGGCCAGGCCAGUAGCCUUGGGAGGGGCUAUGGGGGGCUUAACUUCCUGGCCAGAGGGUGCACACAGGCCUGAGGCCAGGCUGGCCCAGACCCACAGACAGCGUGGCCUGAGACGCAGCUCCAGCAGGGCACGUGGAUCUCGCAGAGCGGACUCGGCCAGGGCUGCACGCUCCCCAUGGGCUGGCAGCGCCGCUGCGUUCGUUGCGUUUCCUCACCGCGCUCCCCUUCUCCGCCCACUCGUCACCCCCUCCGCGUUGCCACGACAACGUGUGAAACUAAAAUUCACUUCCCAGUCGCAGCUCCAGAUCCGCCGCAGCUGCCCUCCCCGGUGGUCCGCUACUUCGCCCGCAGCCAAAGGCGGGGCGGCCCCCCGCGCCCCUCGGCACCCCCGCCCCGCGCCUGCGGCCGCCCGGCCGCCACCCCC